rnacentral:lncRNA from 1 species
GGAAUCUUUAGGCUUUUAUUCUUGGCGGGGUUGGGAGGGGAUAGGAGGUAGACAGGUGAGUGAGCUCAAUCUGAUUGACAAUUCAGGCCUGUAUUGAUCAUCUAUUGGUAAAUAAACAAUGCCUUGGUCACUGUCACAGUCCCUAUAAGGUAAUGACUGGGAAUAUGGAACAAGAUUAUUGUGGCUAAUUCUUUUGCCAUUCAUCUUAGCUGUUGAUGAAGAUAGUGAGGAGGGAGACCAGAAGAUAAUGGACAACGAUACAGCAGAAGGGCCUGGUUACACUUGAGCUUAUUUCUUGGAAGAGUCUGAGAAGAUGGCCUGUCAGGCUCCUAACACUAAGGGCCAUGUAACCAGUGAAGCAGCCAUUAUAUAUGAUUUGGUCUACACUUGUUGGAAAAAUUCCACAAGAGGAUCUCCUGGAAGCUAGCAGAAGUUUUUGGCUUGUACAUUGCCAGGCAGCCAUUGGAAUCAGAGCUGCAGUCAGAUUAAGGCCAGCCUGGCCGACAUUGAGAAACCUCAUUUUGGAAAAGUGAAAUACUUUGUCAAUUAACAUGCAGUUGGUUCAAUAAAGACUUUUGGAAAGUG